rnacentral:rRNA from 1 species
GUGGGGAAUCUUGCGCAAUGGGCGAAAGCCUGACGCAGCAACGCCGCGUGGGGGAUGACGGCCUUCGGGUUGUAAACCUCUUUCGACACCGACGAAGCCAUCUUCGGGUGGUGACGGUAGGUGUAGAAGAAGCACCGGCUAACUACGUGCCAGCAGCCGCGGUAAUACGUAGGGUGCGAGCGUUGUCCGGAUUUAUUGGGCGUAAAGAGCUCGUAGGCGGUUUGUCGCGUCUAUCGUGAAAACCGGGAGCUUAACUCCUGGCUUGCGGUGGAUACGGGCAGACUUGAGUUCGGUAGGGGAGACUGGAAUUCCUGGUGUAGCGGUGAAAUGCGCAGAUAUCAGGAGGAACACCGGUGGCGAAGGCGGGUCUCUGGGCCGAUACUGACGCUGAGGAGCGAAAGCGUGGGGAGCGAACAGGAUUAGAAACCCUAGUAGUCC